rnacentral:rRNA from 1 species
GUGGGGAAUAUUGGACAAUGGGCGAAAGCCUGAUCCAGCCAUGCCGCGUGUGUGAAGAAGGUCUUCGGAUUGUAAAGCACUUUAAGUUGGGAGGAAGGGCAGUAAGUUAAUACCUUGCUGUUUUGACGUUACCAACAGAAUAAGCACCGGCUAACUUCGUGCCAGCAGCCGCGGUAAUACGAAGGGUGCAAGCGUUAAUCGGAAUUACUGGGCGUAAAGCGCGCGUAGGUGGUUCAGCAAGUUGGAGGUGAAAUCCCCGGGCUCAACCUGGGAACUGCCGCCAAAACUACGGAGCUAGAGUACGGUAGAGGGUAGUGGAAUUUCCUGUGUAGCGGUGAAAUGCGUAGAUAUAGGAAGGAACACCAGUGGCGAAGGCGACUACCUGGACUGAUACUGACACUGAGGUGCGAAAGCGUGGGGAGCAAACAGGAUUAGAAACCCGUGUAGUCC